UGGCGGACCUCCUCCUAAGUAGCUAUCGGAGGUGACCCUGGCCGUGGAAGCCAUUUUGGAAAUAGAAAAUGAAAGCAUUUCGGGCGUUUCCGAUUUCUUGGAUGUGAACAGGCUGACAGUUGAAGAACAUCAAGCUGCGAACAGUGCCUCUGCGGGAGCUGUGUCUGGACAGCGCCAUCCAGGGCAGUUCUGCGACCAACAAGCCGUGGACAGUGCCUCUGCGGGAGCUGUGUCUGGGCAGCGCCAUCCAGGGCAGUUAUGCAACCAACGAGAAAAAAGCUGCCCUGCGGGGGCAGAUGGAGGGUACAGCAAUGUGAUAGCCAUACCAACUUUCGAUGAUCAGCGUUACAACAAUGACGAAAAAAGACAACUAGAACUUGCACUUCUGCGAGCAAACAUUGAACAUGUGAUUGCCUAAAAGAGGGCCUGUGACGCAGAGGCAGCGUACAAAAUCGCAUUGACAAAAAAACUUA